UUAAGUUCAGCGGGUAGUCCUACCUGAUUUGAGGUCAGAUUUCAAAAGUGUUUGUUUGGCCACCGCUCCAUAGGAGGCCGGGGAAGGGCUCUAUCGACGGGGAAGUUCUCAGAGGAGAGCGAGGAUGGUACAACGCCCAACCGAGUCCGACCCACAGGCCCGACCGAAGCAUUUGAGGGGACGGCCUCACGACCGCAAGC
rnacentral:misc_RNA from 1 species